rnacentral:rRNA from 1 species
CCCUUAGAUGUCCUGGGCCGCACGCGCGUUACACUGAUGCAUUCAACGAGCUUAUAACCUUGGCCGAGAGGCCUGGGCAAUCUUGUUAACGUGCAUCGUGAUAGGGAUAGAUUAUUGAAAUUAUUAAUCUUGAGCGAGGAAUUCCUAGUAAACGCAGAUCAUCAAUCUGCAUUGAUUACGUCCCUGCCCUUUGUACACACCGCCCGUCGCACCUACCGAUUGGAUGGUCCGGUGAAGCCUCGGGAUUGUGGUUCUUGCCGCUUUAUUGUGGCGUGACCGCGAGAACUUGUCUAAACCUUAUCAUCUAGAGGAAGGUGAAGUCGUAACA